rnacentral:rRNA from 1 species
GACGACGCUGGCGGCGUGCUUAACACAUGCAAGCGAGCGAGAAAGGCCCUUCGGGGCUGAGUACAGCGGCGAACGGGCGAGUAACACGUGGGUAACCUGCCCGGAGACCGGGAUAACGUCCCGAAAGGGACGCUAAUACCGGGUAACGUGUGACCCGCCAAGUGGGUCACACCAUAGGUAGCUUCGGCCUCCGCUUCGGGAUGGGCCCGCGCAGCAUUAGCUUGUUGGUGAGGUAACGGCUCACCAAGGCUGCGAUGCUUAGCUGGUCUGAGAGGACGAUCAGCCACACUGGGACUGAGAUACGGCCCAGACUCCUACGGGAGGCAGCAGUGGGGAAUCUUGCGCAAUGGGCGAAAGCCUGACGCAGCAACGCCGCGUGAGCGAAGAAGGCCUUCGGGUUGUAAAGCUCUGUCAGGAGGGACGAAGCCACUCGGGUGAAUAGCCCAGAGGGUGACGGUACCUCCAGAGGAAGGUCCGGCUAACUACGUG